CUGAUCCAGCCAUGCCGCGUGCGGGAAGAAGGCCUUCGGGUUGUAAACCGCUUUUGUCAGGGAAGAAAAGGUUCUGGUUAAUACCUGGGACUCAUGACGGUACCUGAAGAAUAAGCACCGGCUAACUACGUGCCAGCAGCCGCGGUAAUACGUAGGGUGCAAGCGUUAAUCGGAAUUACUGGGCGUAAAGCGUGCGCAGGCGGUUAUGCAAGACAGAUGUGAAAUCCCCGGGCUCAACCUGGGAACUGCAUUUGUGACUGCAUGGCUAGAGUACGGUAGAGGGGGAUGGAAUUCCGCGUGUAGCAGUGAAAUGCGUAGAUAUGCGGAGGAACACCGAUGGCGAAGGCAAUCCCCUGGACCUGUACUGACGCUCAUGCACGAAAGCGUGGGGAGCAAACAGGAUUAGAUACCCUGGUAGUCCACGCCCUAAACGAUGUCAACUGGUUGUUGGGAGGGUUUCUUCUCAGUAACG
rnacentral:rRNA from 1 species